GGGUCCAUAGCUCAGUUGGUUAGAGUGCUGCCUUGACAUGGCAGAGGUCGGCAGUUCGAGUCUGCCUGGACCCACCA
rnacentral:tRNA from 3 species